GAAUUUUGGACAAUGGGGGCAACCCUGAUCCAGCCAUCCCGCGUGUGCGAUGAAGGCCUUCGGGUUGUAAAGCACUUUUGGCAGGGAAGAAAAGGCUCUGGCUAAUACCUGGAGCUGCUGACGGUACCUGCAGCAUAAGCACCGGCUAACUACGUCCCAGCAGCCGCGGUAAUACGUAGGGUGCAAGCGUUAAUCGGAAUUACGGGGCGUAAAGCGUGCGCAGGCGGUUUGGCAAGAAGGAUGUGAAAUCCCAGGGCUUAACCUUGGAACUGCAUUCUUAACUGCAAGGCUAGAGUACGGCAGAGGGGGGUGGAAUUCCGCGUGUAGCAGUGAAAUGCGUAGAUAUGCGGAGGAACACCGAUGGCGAAGGCAACCCCCUGGGCCUGUACUGACGCUCAUGCACGAAAGCGUGGGGAGCAAACA
rnacentral:rRNA from 1 species